rnacentral:misc_RNA from 1 species
CAGAGUACUAUACUCCAAAACCCCUGUCUACCUUACCUUUACGUUGCUUCGGCAGGCGGCCCCUGGGAGGGGCCGUUGGGUGCCUGCCGGAGGUAUUUCCAAACUCUUGUUUUAUAAACCUAAAUCUUCUGAGUUAUUACUUUUAAAUAAGUCA